rnacentral:misc_RNA from 1 species
GUGUUACAACUAUAUAAGUUCAAGAAUAGUUAUUGAAAUUUAUCCGUCAUUGUCAGGUGGAAACUCUUUGUUUGAACAAAUAUUUUAGGCUAUAGUGAUCUGUGUGGAUAAGGAAUGAUCUUCCCCACAAAUAUGGACGCUAAUGUUGGACUGCCUUGGCCAACUUGAUUAAUUCUGUCAUAGGCUAGUAGUUUAAAAUGUCUAGCUACCAAUUUUCUACUGAAAAAUGCAAUCAGAUGGCCAUGUUGAAGAACUGCCCCAAUUCCUCCUCUAAAGGCAUCACAUUCCAUAAUGAAUUCAUCUGCAAAAUUUGGUAGCUGCAAAACUGAGGCAGCAGCGAGGGCGUGCUUGAGGUUGGUAAAGGACGCCAAAGUUGAUUCAAUCUAGUGGAAGGAGUUGCGUUUCGGCAUACUGGCCAAGGAAGCUGCAAUCUGUUCAUAAUUUUGAAUUAAUUUUUGGUAAUACCUAGCCAGCCCAAGAAAACCAUGAAGAGCCAUUGUGGAUUGCAGUUGUGGCCAUUUGGUGACCACUUGAAUUUUGCUGGAAUCGGCAAAUACAUCUGCACUAGAAAUAACAUGUUCAAGGUAUGCUACUUGCAUCUCCCCAAAGGAGCAUUUGAACCUUUUAAGAAAUAGAUGGUGAGCCCGUAAUAAUUCAAGAACCAUCCAAAUGUGAAUCAAGUGUUCAUCCUAUGUUGUACUAUAAAUUAAGAUAUCGUAGAAGAAAGCAAGGAC